AUGGCAUAACGAGGGCUUAGCUGUCUCCUUUUUCCAGUCAAUGAAAUUGAUUUCCCCGUGCAGAAGCGGGGAUAAAUACAUAAGACGAGAAGCCGUAUGGAGCUUUAGACACUAAAAUGGCCCAUGUCAAUAACCCCAAGAAAAAGGAAAAAACCAAGUGGGACCCACCUUGAUGUCUUUGGUUGGGGCGACCACGGGGAAAUAAAUAACCCCCACGUGGAGUGGGAGCACCUCCUCCUAAAACUAAGAGUGACAACUCUAAUCAACAGAAAUUCUGACCAGGAAGAUCCGGCAAUGCCGAUCAACGGACCUAGUUACCCUAGGGAUAACAGCGCAAUCCUCUUUUAGAGCCCAUAUCGACAAGAGGGUUUACGACCUCGAUGUUGGAUCAGGACAUCCUAAUGGUGCAGCCGCUAUUA
rnacentral:rRNA from 1 species